CCAAUGGGAGGAAGGAAUAGAGUAACAUUACCCAAUGGGAAAUAUAGUACAGCACUUUGCACUAAUGUCGAUACAGUGUAAUCGCCAACUGGUUUGUCCAUCAAUAACUUCAUCCUGAAGCACUUGACUUGAAUUGAAAACUGAUUGCUCUAUAAAGGUAUUCAACUAUAUCGUCCCAUUUCCCAAAAACCAAAACCCAAACCCACUCGCAUACAAAAAGGAUAGACUCUCCAUAAUUUAAACUUGAAUUGAAAACUGAUUGCUCUAGGAACCCUAUUCUUUUUCUUUCAUUGGAUUAUUAUUAUGUUGCCAUAAAUUUCCCUACAGAUCUGAUUUGCAGAAGGACUAAAAGAGGGAGUGUGACAUGUUGGGGCGAAUUCAUCUGGUUAGUUGCAAGGCCGUUCAGACCUCCAGCCCCAUCUGAAUCUGAAUCUGAAUCUCUACACCAAUCUGGCUAAUGAGGUUAUGUUAUCUUAACGACCUUGCAAUUAACCGGGUGAAUUAGCCCCAACAUGUCCCAGAUCGACCUUAUCAACAAUCCAGCAAUUUCGUCUAUCAACAAGUGCACAGUUUUUUUUUUUCAGAUUAUGCACAUGAAUGUUUGUUUAGAUUAACGGAGUGUCACAACCAUCGGACCUUUUUUUUUUGUGUGUUCAUACUUGAUAAUGUUUUUAUGAAGCAGAUUUCACUAAUCCAAAGAGAACACUUCUCAAAGUCAAAACUAACAUGAGCCAUUAAUCCAACCAGACCAUAGAGGAGGUGACAUUCCAGAUUCCACACUUUUUUUUAUAUUUGAUUCGAUAAUUGUUGUUUCCUUUUAUUUAAAUCUCAUACAAGUAGCAGCAGACAAAAAAAGAUCACCUUUCUCAGCUAGCUGUGUUUGCACUUACUCUUCAACAAGCAAGCCUGCCUUUACAAUUAAAGAGUUGCAUUUCAAUGAAUGCUUUGCUUGGCUUGGCUUGGCUUGCUAAUUCAGCUAUUCUACUGGAGAGCUGAGUGAACCAAUUUACAUCAUCUUGCUGACCUUAUUUGGUGUGGUCAGGUCUAUAUAUAGAAGCUCUUUACGUCCUCUAAACCAUGUUCACUGCAGGAAAAUUUUCAGUUGCAACCAAGAAUUCAAUGUAAUGGAAUGGUUGAGAUGCAUAAUCACAUACCACAAAAAACAAUAUAUAGGUGUGGUGAUAACUUUCGGUGUUCAUUCUAAAUCCUAAUUCCCUGAAGCAUGCAUGAGCCAUGAGAUACCUGGCUUUAAGGCCAUUUCUUUAGUCUCUACCACCUAUUAAUAAGUUCAACCAACCUAUAUAUUCAAUAUAUUGAAUUGAACCACCACCCAACAAUAUUCAUCAUAGUUUGUAAUAGAGCACACAUACACUACUUACACUUGUAGAUAUUUAACUAGUCUGAUUACUGUUUCUACCCAAGAUCAACCUUUCUGUAAAUGUAGUACUAGUUGGCCAAUUAAAUUUAUCUUCACAUCUGGCAUUUCAAUCAAAUUCCCUCACCAUUAAACUUU